AAGUGUGUGAUACAUACCCUUGUUGGAU
rnacentral:sRNA from 1 species